GGAGCUUGCUCCUGGGCGUCGAGCGGCGGACGGGUGAGUAAAGCGUAGGAAUCUGCCCAACGGUGGGGGAUAACCCGGGGAAACUCGGGCUAAUACCGCAUAAUCCUUACGAGGCAAAGCGGAGGACCCUUCGGGGCUUCGCGCCGAUGGAUGAGCCUACGUCUGAUUAGCUUGUUGGUGGGGUAAUGGCCUACCAAGGCGACGAUCAGUAGCUGGUCUGAGAGGAUGAUCAGCCACACCGGGACUGAGACACGGCCCGGACUCCUACGGGAGGCAGCAGUGGGGAAUCUUGGACAAUGGGCGAAAGCCUGAUCCAGCCAUGCCGCGUGUGUGAAGAAGGCCCUAGGGUUGUAAAGCACUUUAAGCAGGGAAGAAAAAGCCCGGGUUAAUACCCCGAGGCCUUGACGGUACCUGCAGAAUAAGCACCGGCUGAUUCCGUGCCAGCAGCCGCGGUAAUACGGAAGGUGCGAGCGUUAAUCGGAAUUACUGGGCGUAAAGCGUGCGUAGGCGGCCCUGUGUGUCGGAUGUGAAAGCCCCGGGCUUAACCUGGGAAUUGCAUUCGAAACUGCAGAGCUCGAGUGUGGUAGAGGAAGAUGGAAUUCCACGUGUAGCGGUGAAAUGCGUAGAUAUGUGGAGGAACACCAAUGGCGAAGGCAGUCUUCUGGGCCAACACUGACGCUGAGGCACGAAAGCGUGGGUAGCGAA
rnacentral:rRNA from 1 species